rnacentral:rRNA from 1 species
UCUGGCCUCGGCCCGAGUUGUAAUUUGCAGAGGAAGCUUUAGGCGCGGCACCUUCUGAGUCCCCUGGAACGGGGCGCCAUAGAGGGUGAGAGCCCCGUAUAGUUGGAUGCCUAGCCUGUGUAAAGCUCCUUCGACGAGUCGAGUAGUUUGGGAAUGCUGCUCAAAAUGGGAGGUAAAUUUCUUCUAAAGCUAAAUACCGGCCAGAGACCGAUAGCGCACAAGUAGAGUGAUCGAAAGAUGAAAAGCACUUUGAAAAGAGGGUUAAAUAGCACGUGAAAUUGUUGAAAGGGAAGCGCUUGUGACCAGACUUGCGCCGGGCUGAUCAUCCGGUGUUCUCACCGGUGCACUCUGCCCGGCUCAGGCCAGCAUCGGUUCUCGCGGGGGGAUAAAGGCCCAGGGAACGUAGCUCCUCCGGGAGUGUUAUAGCCCUGGGUGCAAUGCCCUCGCGGGGACCGAGGUUCGCGCAUCUGCAAGGAUGCUGGCGUAAUGGUCACCAGCGACCCGUCUUGAAACACGGACCAAGGAGUCAAGGUUUUGCGCGAGUGUUUGGGUGUAAAACCCGCACGCGUAAUGAAAGUGAACGUAGGUGAGAGCUUCGGCGCAUCAUCGACCGAUCCUGAUGUUUUCGGAUGGAUUUGAGUAGGAGCGUUAAGCCUUGGACCCGAAAGAUGGUGAACUAUGCUUGGAUAGGGUGAAGCCAGAGGAAACUCUGGUGGAGGCUCGCAGCGGUUCUGACGUGCAAAUCGAUCGUCAAAUCUGAGCAUGGGGGCGAAAGACUAAUCGAACCAUCUAGUAGCUGGUUACCGCCGAAGUUUCCCUCAGGAUAGCAGUGUUGUCUUCAGUUUUAUGAGGUAAAGCGAAUGAUUAGGGACUCGGGGGCGCUUUUUAGCCUUCAUCCAUUCUCAAACUUUAAAUAUGUAAGAAGCCCUUGUUACUUAAUUGAACGUGGGCAUUCGAAUGUACCAACACUAGUGGGCCAUUUUUGGUAAGCAGAACUGGCGAUGCGGGAUGAACCGAACGCGGGGUUAAGGUGCCGGAGUGGACGCUCAUCAGACACCACAAAAGGCGUUAGUACAUCUUGACAGCAGGACGGUGGCCAUGGAAGUCGGAAUCCGCUAAGGACUGUGUAACAACUCACCUGCCGAAUGUACUAGCCCUGAAAAUGGAUGGCGCUCAAGCGUCCCACCCAUACCCCGCCCUCAGGGUAGAAACGAUGCCCUGAGGAGUAGGCGGCCGUGGAGGUCAGUGACGAA